rnacentral:miRNA from 1 species
UUGGCAGUGCAUUGCUAGCUGGCUGUU